UUCUUCAUUAUCAUUCGAUAUAUAUGGAAAACGUUCCAAUCUAGAUAAAACGUGAAUUGAUUUAUAAUUUGUGUGAAAAAAAUGUUUUUUUUAUGUUGUUCGAAGUGAUUCAUUUAAGGAAAUAUUAAAGGAUGAUUUAUAGCAGAUGUUCCUAAACUUUCACCGACAAAGAUUCAUCUGGCGAGGGUCGACUUUCAUAUUAAUAGAUGUAACAUUACGUUCAUUCACUUUGACUUUUUUGUUAUAACCGAGGAAGGAAGAAAAUUGCUGUUUUAACUCGAGGAACAGCUUUCCUGUUCUAUUAUGAAACUGGAACUUUACCGGACGGAGUAUAUGUACACCAUGUAGAGAGAGAGAGAGAGAGAGAGAGAGAGAGAGAGAGAGAGAGAGAGAAUGAAAUGAAUCAGGUUGCGGGAUCGGAGAAAGAAGAAACGGGCCUCACACCACGAAGACUUUCACGCGGUCCGGUGGUCUCGCUACUAUUUUUUUUUUACUUUUCUGUUUCUUGUACGUUGUUAUAAAUCUUCAAAUGAAUUGAACAGAUAGGCGCACCUAUUUUUAUGAAUAAUUAUGUCCCGUUACGUUUUGAAAAAUGUUAUGUUUUGUCUUGCGUUGAUCGUGAUUAUCGUGAAUAUUAUGAGAGCGCAAAAUGAUCGUAUCAAAAAAAAAAAA